UUCGUCCCCAAAUCCUUAACCCAGUGUCGAUUCAUCCCCAAAUUCCAGACAUCAGUUCGCGCAAAAUCUCUUGAAGAAUUGGUACCACCAUCGAAGGUUCAUUCUUCCACUUCAACCGAUUUCGUCGAUGCCGAUUCGCCGAUUCUUCGUUCGUCAAAGUCUAUCCUCUGCUAUUUAGUUUGGAAGUGAUGUUGGUGAAGCCUUGGAACCACAAUGAAAGCUUCAGUUUGGAGUGUUUGAAUGUGACAUGCUAAAGUGUGAGGGAGUUAUAGAAGAGUUUCUUUUAGAAGUGUAAGAUUGUUAAAAUUGUCUUUUCUAAUAACAGGAUGUAUAGUUCUUUAUAGAGGAGUUUUGUAUUUCCAUUACAUGAGCUUAGUCAUGUUUUUAUGAGGAACUGUUUCUUAGUUGAUUUUAGGUGUCUUCGUUUUGGAAUUCCUCUAGCAUACAUGUUUGUUUUAGGAGACUCACAAGAUUCAUAUUGUUUUUGUAUGUCCUAUAUAUCUUUUGCUUCUUACUUUGUUUCUUAUUUAGUUCUAAACUCAUUUUGUAUGCUACUAGUCUCGAGAGUAUAAUGAAAGAAAAUUUCAAUUACUAUACUUUUAUGUGAUGUGUCACUAUCCAAUAACCAAAUACUUAAUUAAGAUAUUGAAUGCUUCACUGGCCAUCAUUAUAUAAAUCAAUUUUAUGUGUGAAUAAAAGUUCUUAAGAAUUAAUGUAUUGUUAAAGCUUUCUUAGGAAUUUAUGUUAUUUGUUUCUUAAAAAGCAUUUGGACUAGUAAUCCUUAUCAUGAAAAAGUAGUAUAUGCAGAACUACAUCACCUAUAUAGUGUGUCUAUUUGUGAUUUCCAGCUGCUAAUGUAUUCUUAUGGAAGUGUAGAAACUGUGGUUUUUUUCUGGUUCAUGUUUAUAAUGUACCAAUUUACUUGUUCAAAUGUCAAUUUUAUGUUUUCAAAUAUUUAAUAUAUGGUUACUCAUAAAUUUUUUCAUGUGAUUUGUGAUUUUUUUUUAUAGAUAUUUUUGAAUGAAAGUGAGUUGGAGAUGAUUGGUCAAUGUUCAGAUUAUCAGAAAACUAUUUACCAAAAGUCUCAAAUGCAAAAGGACUUUUUGGCCAUCAGGCCUGUGAGUACUUUGCAUACUUAGCUUGUUUCUUCAAUGCAUAAGUUGUUUUGAUCAAUUUUAGUUUGAAUUAUUGUUUUGUUUUAUCAUAUAGUAUUAUAGUAAGUGAAGAUGAUGUUCGUUCCAUCUGUGUCAAGGCAUAAUAUUAUCCAUGUUUGCAUGUAAUUGUAGUUAUGCAGUUUGCUAGAGUAAUCUUAUAUUAUCGAUCUUGUGUUGGGUGGUUUGUUCUUCAAUACACUAUAUGCAGGCUAUUUUCUCUUUUCAUUCUUUAGCUUCGAAGAAAAAUGCAAUUUUGGGUUUCAUUGUUUUUCACUCUGUGAUCAAUUUUGAAGAACAAAGAUUGGCCUUUUAGAUUUCUUGUUUUUCUUCUAUUGACUAUUGUUGUUGAUUUUGAUUGUUGAUGAUCAUCGUGGAGAAUUAUUCAAGAAGUGGUGUUCAUGAUUUUAAUAUGGCUUCAAGAAAAGCUGAAGAAACAAUGUGGUUAGUUGUAUCAGUUGAGGAUGCGUACAAUUUCAUGAUGAAUUGGCUUACAAAGGCUCCCACAGUUUAUGGGAUUUUUCAUAGCAAGAGAAAGCUAUGUUGGUAAGGGACAUUGAUGCAGAAGACUUUGGAUACUCUAGGAUAUAGAUUGAUGCAGGUAAUUUCGAUUUCUGCUUUCCCAUGAAUUGUUCUUCGAGUGUGCCUGUUUUCAGAUGUUAUUACUUGCUUGCUAUGUUCUAAGGAGCUGUAUGAUUUGCGAGACGGCAACUUGUUUUCUUGACCUAUAUAAUCCUGAGGUAGAUUAUGAUGAUGUCGAUGAGAAAUAUUAUGAGCUAGCUAGCUAGGUUUGUGUGAAGUUACAAUGGAUUAGUAUUAAUUAUGAUGAUGUUUUGAUUUGUAUUUUGG